AUUAAUAUUACUAUAAUAUUUUAUAUAUGUGCUAGUUAUCUACAAAAGUUUUAUGAAUUUAUAUUAAUUAUGACAAAUAUAAAGAGCAUAGUGUAAAUUAUAAAUAAUUUUGAAGUUAAAUUUGAAGUUUUGAUUUUGGAGACCUUGAAACUUCAAAUAUAAAGUUUGCAAAACUCUAUAAUAGAGAGUUUGGAGACGUUCUAACAAAAUUAGGCAUUCGAUAGUUUUUUUUACUCCCUCCAUUACCUUUCUAUCUCUAAAGACUUUUAUGUCUAUUUGUUCUUGCCUUCUCCGCCACAAAUCUUCGUUUCCGUCGGUGGGUUUCCACAGCCACGAGGUCGAUUCAGAUCAAAAUCGAGUGGUUGGUUCUUACGGUUAUGGCGCUCCUGCUCCGGUACUCGUUACGGUUACUGAUUCUUGUGCAUGUGUGUUUUAGACUUUUGGAUCUAUGUCGUCGAUUUCUUCUUUGCAUGCGCCUGUCUCAGUUCUAUUCCUCUGUAGUUUUAGUGCUUAUCUUUGUUGCUCUGUUGGUGAAGAUGAUUGGUUAGAAUAGGAGGGCUUAUCCUUGGUAUCUAUUGCAACGAUUCGAUUUCGGCUAGGAUCGUGUUUUCUGGUCUUAUGCAGAGAAAUUCCGGAAACACUGCUUUUUUUCUGAAGGACUAGGAGCUUAUGCUAUUUAACAUCAGAUCGUCGGAAAGUAUUAGGUAAACCAGUCUCUUCACUGCGCCUUCUUUGGUUGUGUCAGUGCGAUCCUGCUUGUGGCUCCGAUGUGGAGCAAUAUAAUGAGUGAUGGCUUGAUCCUCUUGAAUAAAUGUUUGAACCGAGCUUGGUCGGAUUCUAGUAAGAUAGGAAAAACUCGUCGGUGGGUUAGUUCGAAGGCAUUUUCUAUUGAUCAGAAAUGUUUGUCGGUUACAAAUGAGGAAAUAAGCGGAGUAAAUACGGCGGUGCUCGCAGAGCUGGCCGGGAAAGUACAAGUCGACAGAAUACAAGAUAAGUAAAAUGCUAAUUCUAGCCGCCAAGUAUGAGUGUUGAUAUUCGGAUGGGUCCGAGUUACCGGCGAAGGGUGGAAAACAAAGUUUUUCCAUUGGGCGGAGACUGAUGGGGGUUCUGAGUGUUUCAGCGAGAACGCGAUCGAUUUGCGGGGUAGAGCUCAUGAUGUGGUGGAUCUUAGAAUGGAUGUCUUGGAGUGAGAGCUUGAGCUCGGCGAUUUCCCGGACGAUAGUUAGAGCCGGGCCAUUAGGGUUUUGCCCGGUGGUGGCUGUACGGUCUGUGUUAAAUAGCUGUCUUUGAAUGGUCGGAGGGUUGCUCGUGUUCGGUUGUCGCCUUUUCUGCUUCUUCCUAUUAGUGGAGACAAGCCAUGACGAACUCUGACAUGGUUGGUGCUGCGGCAACAAGGGUGGGUUCCGACUCUUCACUGGAGGUCAAUUCUCGAGAUUCAUGUUGAUAUGUGUCGAUGCUUCUUCGUUUUGCCCCAUGGUGGGUGCCAAAUGUUUAAUCCAUAGCUGUGUGUAUUGGAAUCAGACAUUAUAUUUUUAUGUAGGUUUAGGAAAAGUUUUCAUAAUGAGAACCAAAUGGAAAAGAAAAACAUAAAAUUUUUUUUAUAGAUUAUAGAUUUCAUUACAAAGAUAUAUUUUUCUUAGAAGUGUAAAGUGAAUCUAAGAAUCUAUAAAAUCUUUCUCGAUAAAAUGUGUUCUAGAUCUAAGAAGAAAGAAUCAUCCCAUCUUAAGGAGGAGUGCCUCCUCUUUUAUACAAGAAAUCUAGGGUUUUCUAAUGAUCUCUUCUUGUAAAUGAGCCUAGUUCAUUGUCUAAUGGACCUUGUUGAGGGAUUAAGAUCCAUCUCCAACAACAAAGUUCGAUCUUGAGAAUUGUUCUUCUUCUUCUUAAGAGUGUUAUGUUGUUUGGUUUUAUUUGAUAAAUGUAAAACCAUAGCUAGUGUUUUGUCUUGGUCGUUGUCUAUGGGGACUUGUUGUCCGUCGGCUUUCGAUUCCAGUGAAUGGUUUUUCUUCUGCUGGCUUAGAACUCCGAGAGUUUUGAUAACUCACUGGCUUUAGUUUAAAUUUUCUGUAAUCCUCGUUUUAAUGAUAAUCUAAUCUUCUAGCGUUAAAAAAAAAGAUAGUUAUUAAAAUAGAUUGUAAAGUGUGUGUCGUAUUGAUGAAAGUACAUGAGUAUAUAUACAAGAGAUUAAGUCCUUAUCACGAGAGGACUAUGUAUUUAGAUAAGUACAACAUAUUAUUAUCUAUAAUUCACAUCAUUAUCUCUAUACACCCCCGCAAGUUGGAGGUGAAAGAUUUUGAAUCUCCAGCUUGGACAGCAGAUAAGAAAAUGUAGUUGUUGGUAGGGCCUUGGUGAGAAUUUCUGCAGGCUGCUCAGUGGUUCUGAUAUGUUCUGUAGUAAUCAGCUUGUCCUCGACAGCAUCGCGAACAAAAUUGCAGUCCGACUCAAUAUGUUUCGUUCGUUCAUGGAAAACUGGGUUAGCCGCAAUGUAAAUGGCCGCUUUGCUGUCACAAAAGAGUUGCAUUGGGUGAUCAUGAGGUAUGUCAAACGCACGCAGCAGUUGCUUGAUCCACUUGAGCUCUUUUAAAGAUGCUGCCAUGGACCGAUACUCAGGAAGCAUAAUUACUAUAUGUGAAUAUAUGUGAAUGCGUAAACCAUAAUUACUAAACAAAAACCAAAUUUCGUAACAAAAAAUACAACUUUUAUAAAUAGUAUGUAUUAAUGUAUACACAGUAAAAUGAAAUAUCUUUAUGCGUAAUUUAUAUUGUAUUAAAUUUGAAAUAAUUUCUUUAAGCUAACAUCGUUGUCAAUUGGUUAAUCAUAUACGUAGAUGAUCUACAAAUAAUAUAUAUGUAUUAAAUUUAAUUAAUUGGAGGAGAAGCAAUGGCUAAAAAAUAUCGUGAGUAGGUAUGUCUUGCAAGCAAAAUAUUCUUGAAAAGUUGCAAGUAGCAAAUAAACAACGGGUAAUCAAUUAAUUAACUACUACUUGACUAAGAAAGCAGAUUAACAGCUUAGCUCUAAGCCUAGAAUAUGCAUUUUUAAUAUAUAUAAGCUAUCUCUCCUAUCAAAUACUAAAAUCUAUUUUUAAAACUUACGGUCACCUUCCGUAGCGGUUGAAGAAAAAUAUGUCCACGUAUAAAUCUUCUCGAGGAGGAACUCAUUGCAUCCAAUAUUUUGAUCAUAUAUUGAGUUUUAGAACAAAUGGUGAACUUUAAUUAUAUCAAACAACAAAGCAAAUAAUUACAAAGAUAACAAAGACUUAAUAUCCCUUUCACAUGUGCUCAUAUGCCUGGUGGCAGAUUCUGUGGGCGCUUGCACCUAAACCCAGCUCACUGCCUUUUGUUUUCUACACAAAAACCAGUUUUAAUAAUACUAAGAAUAAACAAACAUGAGAAUCGAAAGAAUAUUUUAGUGUUAUAAUUAUAUUUUGUGUCUGUGGUGUAAUUAAGAAUUCAUAGUAUGAUAUGGUUAUAGCUUUUGGGUUCUAGUAUGUGUCAUAUGGAUUGUUGGUGUUGGAUCUCACAUACAAUAUUCAUUCGAAGAAAUUUAUUAACAGCAACGUUAAUGCCCAUGAUUAGGUCUAAAAUUGAGGACGGUCUAAAGAAAGAGGGGGUCAAAUGGUCGAUGAAGGAUUAUUUCUACCUCUAUUCUUCUCCUUAAUUAUUCUUCUUCUUCUUCUUUUUUUUGGCUUCCACCAUUUUCACCGUAUUCAUCUUCCACUAGUUUGUAUAUUUUAAUCAAGACAUUAGUAAGAACAGAACACUAUCUUUCAUAUUAUUUAAUGUACAAUUUUGUUCCAUUU